GGUCAAGUUAUUAAGGGUGCAGGGCGGAUGCCUUGGCACUAGGAGCCGAUGAAGGACGUGAUAAGCUGCGAUAAGCUUCGGGGAGUUGCACGUAAACUUUGAUCCGAAGAUUUCCGAAUGAGGAAACUCACUUAGAGUAAUGUCUAAGUAUCAUUAAGUGAAUACAUAGCUUAAUGAGGGGAACUCAGGGAACUGAAACAUCUAAGUACCUGAAGGAAGAGAAAGAAAUUCGAUUCCGUAAGUAGCGGCGAGCGAACGCGGAUUAGCCCAAACCAAUAAAGUUUUCUUUAUUGGGGUUGCGGACAUAUCAUAACGAAGAGGUAUCGUAAUUGAAGAGGUUUGGAAAGACCCACCACAGAAGGUAAUAGUCCUGUAUGUUAAACGAGAAGACUUCAGAUAUGAUCCAGAGUACCACGGGACACGUGAAACCCUGUGGGAAGCAGGAGGGACCACCCUCCAAGGCUAAAUACUACCUAGUGACCGAUAGCGUAUAGUACCGUGAGGGAAAGGUGAAAAGAACCCCGGGAGGGGAGUGAAAUAGAACCUGAAACCCUGCACUUACAAGCUGUGGAAGCACAUUUCUUGUGUGACCGCGUACUUUUUGUAGAACGGGCCAACGAGUUACGUUAAGUAGCAAGGUUAAGCACUUAAGGUGCGGAGCCGUAGCGAAAGCGAGUUUUAACUGAGCGUUCAGUUACUUGACGUAGACCCGAAACCGGGCGACCUACCCAUGAGCAGGAUGAAGCGAAAGUAAAAUUUCGUGGAGGUCCGAACCCACGAGCGUUGAAAAGCUCGGGGAUGACUUGUGGGUAGCGGUGAAAUUCCAAUCGAGCCCGGAGAUAGCUGGUUCUCCCCGAAAUAGCUUUAGGGCUAGCCUCAAGGUGAGAGAUACGGAGGUAGAGCACUGAAUGUCCUAGGGGGUAUUGCACCUACCGAAGACUAUCAAACUCCGAAUGCCGUCAUCUUAUACUUGGGAGUCAGACUGUGGGUGAUAAGAUUCAUAGUCGAAAGGGCAACAGCCCAGAUCGUCAGCUAAGGUCCCUAAAUGUAAGUUAAGUGGUAAAGGAUGUGGGAUUGCACAGACAACCAGGAUGUUGGCUUAGAAGCAGCCACUCAUUCAAAGAGUGCGUAAUAGCUCACUGGUCGAGUGAUCCUGCGCCGAAGAUUUCCGGGGCUAAAACUUACUACCGAAGCUACGGCAUCAGUAAUGAUGGGUAGGGGAGCUUCCCAUACGGGUUGAAGCAUGACCGUAAGGACAUGUGGACAGUAUGGGAGUGAGAAUGUUGGCAUGAGUAGCGAGAUGUGGGUGAGAAUCCCACAGGCCGUAAACCCAAGGUUUCCAGGGGAAGGUUCGUCCGCCCUGGGUUAGUCGGGACCUAAGCUGAGGCCGAAAGGCGUAGGUGAUGGACAACAGGUUGAUAUUCCUGUACUACCGAUAACCGUUUGAGAGAAGGGAUGACACAGUAGGAUAAGCUAAGCACACUGUUGGUUAUGUGUGCCCAAGCAUUGAGGCAGUCAAAGUAGGCAAAUCCGCUUUGAUAAUGCUGGGAUGUGAUGGGGAGCGAAAUUUAGUAGCGAAGUAGCUGAUUUCACACUGUCAAGAAAAGUCUCUAUCGAGGUUAAAGGUACCCGUACCGCAAACCGACACAGGUGGGUGAGGAGAGUAUCCUAAGGCCAGCGAGAGAACUGUUGUUAAGGAACUCGGCAAAAUGACCCCGUAACUUAGGGAUAAGGGGUGCCACCAUCAGGUGGCCGCAGAGAAUAGGCCCAAGCGACUGUUUACCAAAAACAUAGGUUUCUGCUAAGUCGCAAGACGAUGUAUAGGAGCUGACGCCUGCCCGGUGCUGGAAGGUUAAGGGGAUCUGUUAGAGCAAUCGAAGCAGUGAACUUAAGCCCCAGUAAACGGCGGCCGUAACUAUAACGGUCCUAAGGUAGCGAAAUUCCUUGUCGGGUAAGUUCCGACCCGCACGAAAGGCGUAACGAUUUGGGCACUGUCUCAACAACAGACUCGGUGAAAUUGUAAUUCCGGUGAAGAUGCCGGAUACCUGCGACAGGACGGAAAGACCCCAUGGAGCUUUACUGUAGCUUGACAUUGGG
rnacentral:rRNA from 1 species